UGGGGAAUUUUGCACAAUGGAGGAAACUCUGAUGCAGCGACGCCGCGUGAGUGAUGAAGAUCUUCGGAUUGUAAAACUCUGUCCUUAGUGAAGAUAAUGACAGUAACUAAGAAGCAAGCCCUGGCUAAAUACGUGCCAGCAGCCGCGGUAAUACGUAUGGGGCAAGCGUUGUCCGGAAUUAUUGGGCGUAAAGGGUACGUAGGCGGUUUAAUAAGUCCUAAUUAAAAGGCUAUGGCUCAACCAUAGUAUGGUUAGGAAACUGUUGAACUUGAGUAGAUGAGGGGAAAGUGGAAUUCCAUGUGUAGCGGUGAAAUGCGUAGAUAUAUGGAGGAACGCCAAUGGCGAAGGCAACUAUCUGGAAUCAAAAUGAAGCUGAGGUACGAAGGCGUGGGGAGCAAACAGG
rnacentral:rRNA from 1 species